CAGUAGCCGCGGUAAUACGGAGGGUGCAAGCGUUAAUCGGAAUUACUGGGCGUAAAGCGCACGCAGGCGGUUUGUUAAGUCAGAUGUGAAAUCCCCGAGCUUAACUUGGGAACUGCAUUUGAAACUGGCAAGCUAGAGUCUUGUAGAGGGGGGUAGAAUUCCAGGUGUAGCGGUGAAAUGCGUAGAGAUCUGGAGGAAUACCGGUGGCGAAGGCGGCCCCCUGGACAAAGACUGACGCUCAGGUGCGAAAGCGUGGGGAGCAAACAGGAUUAGAUACCCGAGUAGUCCCUGUCUCUUAUAC
rnacentral:rRNA from 1 species